GAAAGAGAAAUAAGCAUGUGACUGGUCAUGCUGAAACAGUGAUAGUUUCUAUCUUUAAAUCUUCUAACUGGAAAUGAAGGAAUAAAAGGAUGACAGGGAAGAAGGAAUCUCCUCACAUUUGUGAUAAGUAUGCAAACACGAAGAGGAAGGACUUCUAGAGAAGCACGGCAGGGGAAAGUUUAAUUACUAAAGUUAUCACUCUUAGAAACACAGUGUUGCAUUUGUGGAUGUUAUGAGUUGCUAGUGGCUGCAUCCUUGCAUACAGACCUGACAUUCCAGUUC